GACGAACGCUGGCGGCGUGCUUAACACAUGCAAGUCGAACGGAAAGGCCCUGCUUGCAGGGUACUCGAGUGGCGAACGGGUGAGUAACACGUGGGUGAUCUGCCCUGCACUUCGGGAUAAGCCUGGGAAACUGGGUCUAAUACCGGAUAGGAGCCAUUUUUAGUGUGAUGGUUGGAAAGUUUUUUCGGUGUAGGAUGAGCUCGCGGCCUAUCAGCUUGUUGGUGGGGUAAUGGCCUACCAAGGCGGCGACGGGUAGCCGGCCUGAGAGGGUGGACGGCCACAUUGGGACUGAGAUACGGCCCAGACUCCUACGGGAGGCAGCAGUGGGGAAUAUUGCAUAAUGGGCGCAAGCCUGAUGCAGCGACGCCGCGUGGGGGAUGACGGCCUUCGGGUUGUAAACUCCUUUCGCUAGGGACGAAGCUUUUUGUGACGGUACCUAGAGAAGAAGCACCGGCUAACUACGUG
rnacentral:rRNA from 1 species